GACGAAGCGUGCGAGCGUUGUUCGGAAUCACUGGGCUUAAAGGGCGCGUAGGCGGAUCAUCAAGUCCGGGGUGAAAUCUUUCGGCUUAACCGGAAAAGUGCCUUGGAUACUGGUGGUCUCGAGUGAGGUAGGGGCAUGUGGAACUUCUGGUGGAGCGGUGAAAUGCGUUGAUAUCAGAAGGAACUCCGGUGGCGAAAGCGACGUGCUGGACCUCUUCUGACGCUGAGGCGCGAAAGCUAGGGGAGCGAACGGG
rnacentral:rRNA from 1 species